rnacentral:misc_RNA from 1 species
CGGUGGAGAUGACAUCAUAUAAAAAUCUGCAAUCAAUAAUCAAGAAAUAACUUGUAAGAGAGAUGGGAUGAUAGCCGUAUUUGUUUCUCCAGUGCGGUGUUACUGGACUCCAAUUGGACAUUGCAGGUUAAUAUAGAUUUGUCGCAGUCACUCUGGAGUUGAAUACGAGGCAGUGGUAAGUUGUGCUGACCUGUGCAGACGGAGCGAUAGAAGCGAGGGACGGACAGAAGGAACGGGAGUGGAGUGUUUCGCUGCUAAUCUGCGCGCGCUCUCCAGUUGGAAUCUUAUUCGACUCAGGUGUUCAGCUGUGAGCGGAAGUUUCUGCUAUUUGUGUGUGCGGCGUGACAGCAAAGCGGCGAUUGACAAGCGCGAUCUUUUUCGAGGUGUCAGAAAAAAUCAAGUGCGUUCUCUUGGCUAAGGUGGUAAUUUCGCAAAAGGAAAUCUAUUGCAGACAUAGGUAUGAAGCGGCAUCUUGGCUGAGUUGAGUGUCUCGCAUAGAAAUCUAUCGACUGUGGCGGCUAAUUUUAAAAGGAAGUGCCAACGAAAGCCCAACGUCGCAACCGUCAAGGAUUACAACUGUUUGGAAAAUUCAAACGCGAACAUUUUAAAAAGAUAGACGGUAGUGAGAGUGUCAACAUAAUAGAGGGGAACUUGCGGCAAUGUACAAGUGCGGAAACGUCAACGAGAAGCAACUGUGAAAAGUCAAAACAGUGCAUCCGAGCGAAACGCGAGUUCUUUACGUGCGGGUGGAAAGUGCAUGAAGUGUACACUUGCGAGGAUUCGACGAGACUUGGCAAACGUGCGACUAAUUGUGUUUAAGCGGAGAAUUUACAACUGGUAAUUGUGCAGUUACUUCGCCGGUCGAUAGUUUGUUACGAGCGGGGAUUUUGCAUGAAAAGGCCGCGAUUGAAGAUUUAACUUUGAUAGCCUUCUGAGAAAAGCGAAAAAGAUAUUGGCUGACGUUUGUAAACUUUUUAUCGUUGUUGGUGUUUCGUUAGUGGAGUUUGUGUCGGAUGAUCUUUGAAUCUAAGACGUGGAGAUUUCGCUGUUGGCGUCGUUUGACCUGCUCAAUUGUCGGUGACCUCCUGUCGGAAGGUGGUCUUAGGUUGUUCUUGUUGCACAGUCCCAUCCCCGGCCUUCAAAAUUUAUCCGAAAAUCCAGGACAGUCCGCCGGAAGUCAGCGUCGUGGACGAGUACUUUGUCGGAAUGGAUCCGUCGCGGGGUGACUCGCGCUACAACUUAAACUAUAGUAUGGGCGGCAUUGGUUUAAGCCUGGCUGACCCAGCUGACCUUUAUGGGAACCCUGGUGGAACAUUGGCGGCGACAGGGCGUCCGCCGAGCGGUGGAUUGAUACAAUCAAUGGGAAGGACAUCGUCCGGAGGAGGUGGAUUAAUGGGGCAUGCGGGCGGAGGUGGCUCAGGAAACGCGGGUGCGGGUAGUGGACAGUGUCAGACAUUAGGUGUUAGUGGACAACAGUCUCGCGGUGUGAAACGGACAAGUUCUGAGUGCUAUGAUGACCACCAUCGGUCGAGUACUGGUGGAAUGACGGCACAACAGACGCUCCAAGGACUAGAAAGCUGUGCUAGCGGGGGUGUGGGUGGACAGCCGGGUUCGGGUGGCGGUAACGUCCCGGACGGAGUGGACGAUGGCUACACCUCCCUGCAGAAUAAAAAGUCACCGCCUGCAAAUGGAAAGAAGACCAAGGGACGUGUUAAAAUCAAAAUGGAAUAUAUCGACAACAAGCUGCGACGAUACACAACGUUUUCAAAGCGCAAAACUGGAAUCAUGAAAAAAGCAUAUGAACUGUCAACAUUAACUGGAACACAAGUCAUGUUGCUAGUUGCAUCAGAAACAGGACACGUGUAUACAUUUGCGACGAGAAAAUUGCAACCAAUGAUUACUUCUGAAGCGGGUAAGCAAUUGAUUCAGACCUGUCUAAAUUCGCCAGACCCUCCAAACUCGGGUGGCGGAGAUCAACGAAUGUCCGCUACAGGAUUCGAGGAGACUGAACUCAGUUACAAUAUUGCCGAUGAGGAUUCGAAAAUUUAAUGCAGCGAAAACGAUAAGUCUACAUCAGUGGAAUAAGGACAAGGCCAAACACAAACGUUCAUGACGCAAAAAGAAAGCGAAACCGUAAAAGCUGUGGGUCUUACUUUAUUUAAGUGCAUUGACGGAUGAUCGGUCACCAAUAUCUUCUACUAUUGAAUCAGAUGACUCAUCGGAUGUUGAUGAUCCUGUACCUGGCCCAGAAUCAACAAGUCUAAGUAACAGUAAUCAAAACAUUACCCAGGACAAUUUAAAAGGCAGCGG